GACAGAGGGUGCAAACGUUGUUCGGAAUUACUGGGCGUAAAGCGCGUGUAGGCGGCCCGGCAAGUCGGAUGUGAAAGCCCUGGGCUUAACCUAGGAAGUGCAUUCGAAACUGCUGGGCUUGAGUUCUGGAGAGGAAGGCGGAAUUCUCGGUGUAGAGGUGAAAUUCGUAGAUAUCGAGAGGAACACCGGUGGCGAAGGCGGCCUUCUGGACAGUGACUGACGCUGAGGAGCGAAAGCGUGGGGAGCGAACAGG
rnacentral:rRNA from 1 species